UACGUAGGUGGCAAGCGUUGUCCGGAUUUACUGGGCGUAAAGGGCGUGCAGGCGGUCUGUUAAGUGCAGGGUGAAAGCUCCCGGCUCAACUGGGAGAGGUCCUUGCAUACUGGCGGACUUGAGGGGGGUAGAGGAAGGUGGAAUUCCCGGUGUAGUGGUGAUAUGCGUAGAUAUCGGGAGGAACACCUGUGGCGAAGGUGGCUUUCUGGGCCCUACCUGACGCUGAGACGCGAAAGCGUGGGGAGCGAACCGG
rnacentral:rRNA from 1 species